UUCGCUUCGAUAUGGAACUGAGCAAAUUGGCGGUUGCGUAUUCCCAUUAUUCAUACCUGUGCUAAUGAAUCCGGACACAUUGAGAGAGCCUGCGAUUAGUAACGACAUUGCAGCAAGUUAUCGAUGCGAAGAAAUGGCACGCGGAAGGGGAUGUAGUGAAGGCUAUUCCCCCAAUAUUUGCUCUGGGCGUUGGCACACCAACUCGCCAAGUCGACAACUCGUGGCUUCCUCUGCCUGGUUGGGCCGAAAUGCAGUUGUCUUUGGAAUAGAUGGGUUCCUGCUCAGACUCAGUCUCUGCAAAUGAAGGGGUGUGCCUGGCAUGGGCAAAGAUGGGGAAUAAGAUGAGGAAGUGAAGGAGGAGCACCUGGUUUCGCAGGAGGCAGCGCAAGGCGUGCGACAUGCAACACAAGCCAAUCAAGCGACCUUGAGUCGGAGGGAAGAGUUGGAUGCUGCUGGAGCACCAGAUGAGUUGAUAACCUGCCCGGCGUGCUUGGCUUUUUGUGGGUGUGCAAACCAGUAAAUUGGAGCUAUUUCCAUCAAUUUCCAACGCGCGGCACUUGACAAAGUAAACAGAUUGCUGGUCUCCCCUUCCAUUGGGAUCUGAAAAUAUUCCUAGGUCCGACAGGAGUGGACCUCGAAGUUCGGCACCAUUUUCAGCUACACAAAAGGGGCAUCGCCUGGGAAAUUUAUGACCACUUGCCUGUUGCAUGCACCGUGCACCACCGAGUGGAACGGAACACCGACCACCACCCAUCUUACCCACCAGAACGGCAUCCCGACCCAAAACUGUUAC